rnacentral:rRNA from 1 species
AUUGAACGCUGGCGGCAGGCCUAACACAUGCAAGUCGAGCGCACGGCGGACGGGUGAGUAAUGUCUUGGAAAAUGCCUGAUGGAGGGGGGUCAAUUCUUGAAACGGUAGCUAAUACCGCAUACCAUCUGAUGUGCCCCGAUGGGAUUAGCGAGUAGGUGGGGUAAUGGCUCACCUAGGCGACGAUCCCUAGCUGGUCUGAGAGGAUGACCAGCCACACUGGAACUGAGACACGGUCCAGACUCCUACGGGAGGCAGCAGUGGGGAAUAUUGCACAAGGGGCGCAAGCCUUAUGCAGCCAUGCCGCGUGUAUGAAGAAGGCCUUCGGGUUGCAAAGUACUUUCAGCGGGGAGGCGUUACCCGAAGAAGAAGCACCGGCUAACUCCGUGCCAGCAGCCGCGGUAAUAC